UUGGCCUCAAAAGGUUAGUUCUAAAUGUUGUUUGCUUUUCUAGGAAGGAAUCUGCUAUGCGGCUUAACUGCUGUCAUAAAAUUUGUUUAAAAAAUUCUGCAGAAGUUGUUGGCCAAAAGGAACAUCCUUAAGAGAGCAGCCUUUAUUCUGGGCCACUGUGCUUCACUCACUGCCAUGCAGUUGGGUUUUAGCUGUACUGCUAAAAAUCAUUCAAUUUUGUGAAUGGCUUACUUUGGUUUGUUUUUUUUUUAAUAAACUUUUUAAUUAAC